UACGUAGGGUGCGAGCGUUACUCGGAAUUACUGGGCGUAAAGCGUGCGCAGGCGGUUCGUGAUGUCUGGUGUGAAAGCCCCGGGCUUAACCUGGGAAUUGCAUUGGAAACUAGCGGGCUGGAGUGUGGCAGAGGGGGGUGGAAUUCCACGUGUAGCAGUGAAAUGCGUAGAGAUGUGGAGGAACACCGAUGGCGAAGGCAGCUCGCUGGGACGGUACUGACGCUGAGACGCGAAAGCGUGGGGAGCAAACAGG
rnacentral:rRNA from 1 species